GGGAAGGUGGUUCAGUGGUAGAGCGCUUGCCUUGCAUGCAUGAGGCCCUGGGUUCGAUUCCUCAGCAGCACCA
rfam:Dipodomys ordii contig_33380, whole genome shotgun sequence.